rnacentral:rRNA from 1 species
UACGUAGGGGGCAAGCGUUGUCCGGAAUCAUUGGGCGUAAAGCGCGUGUAGGCGGUUCGGUAAGUCUGCUGUGAAAGUCCAGGGCUCAACCCUGGGAUGCCGGUGGAUACUGUCGGACUAGAGUACGGAAGAGGCGAGUGGAAUUCCCGGUGUAGCGGUGAAAUGCGCAGAUAUCAGGAGGAACACCAAUUGCGAAGGCAGCUCGCUGGGACGUUACUGACGCUGAGACGCGAAAGCGUGGGGAGCAAACAGG